rnacentral:rRNA from 1 species
GAGGAAUAUUGCGCGAAUGGGGGUAACCCUGACGCAGCAACGCCGCGUGUACGAAGAAUCAGAAUACUGUGUAAAGUACUGUCAAACGGGACGAAAGAGUGGGUUAGUAGCCUACUUUGCCGGUACCGUUUAA